GAUGAACGCUAGCGGGAGGCCUAACACAUGCAAGCCGAGCGGUAUUGUUUCUUCGGAAAUGAGAGAGCGGCGUACGGGUGCGUAACACGUGUGCAACCUGCCUUUAUCUGGGGGAUAGCCUUUCGAAAGGAAGAUUAAUACUCCAUAAUAUAUUGAACGGCAUCGUUUAAUAUUGAAAGCUCCGGCGGAUAGAGAUGGGCACGCGCAAGAUUAGAUAGUUGGUGAGGUAACGGCUCACCUAGGCGAUGAUCUUUAGGGGGCCUGAGAGGGUGAUCCCCCACACUGGUACUGAGACACGGACCAGACUCCUACGGGAGGCAGCAGUGAGGAAUAUUGGUCAAUGGGUGCAAGCCUGAACCAGCCAUCCGCGUGAAGGACGACUGCCCUAUGGGUUGUAAACUUCUUUUGUAUAGGGAUAAACCUACCCUCGUGAGGGUAGCUGAAGGUACUAUACGAAUAAGCACCGGCUAACUCCGUGCCAGCCGCCGCCGUAA
rnacentral:rRNA from 1 species